CACUCUGGAUUUAAUAAUAACGAGGAGGUGGAUGGGAGAUUAUGGAAGCGGUGGCUGAGUGGUAAUGAGGUAAUUUCGCAACGUGUUGCGAAAGAGGCGUGGUUGGUAAGUCAUCUCGUCUCACAAGAGAAACUGUUUAUUGACAUCCAGGCUACUCCAAUGAAUUUAUAACCUAAAUCUGUAUCCUGUCUGGAUUUAGGUUACAGUGCGUCUGUGGUGGGCGGUAAGCCGUUGUAGUAACGUUAUCCUACUUCAUUUGCUUUUAAGUCGGUAUAAUCUUUCCUAUAAUGUCACAAUUGCCACGCUUUGUUUGUUAAAUAUAUAAUUAGUUUUACAAUUGUUCAAAGGCUUCUUCUUAUUUAAAGGCAUGCGUGACCGCGAUUAGACUAUUGCGAUGUAGGUGCGCAGUUUCCAGCGUUGUUUCCAACGUUACCCGGAAAUAAGCAAAGCAUUCGCUCUCAGCUGUUUCCUUAUAAAACAUGUCUGUGCGGAUUUGAGGCUCAUUUUUCUUCGGAGCCGCUGAGGAGCAGGAUGGGAUGGAGAGGUGAGCUGGAUGCUUGCUGCAGGAGGAUGUUGCGCACUUCAGUUUACCUCAGGAGUGAAGUGGUCUGAGCAUCCAUGCGGCACUGCGUAAUGAUUUAAUUGAUGAGGUAGAUUUUGCUGCUGUUUAUGUCUAUAUCCCUUUUUUGUUUGUUAGCAGCGGCGCAGAUAUGAAUGUCAUUUUUUUCAGCUUUUGAUAUCCAGUAGUUUCCAAUUCAUAGCAGGAAGUUUAAAAGUAGGAGAAAAUACUUUGAGCUAGUUAUUGUCAAAUUCGUAAGAGAAUCUAUAUAUUGCUGCUACUUUUUUCAGGAAAUGUAUAUUGCGGGCCAGUCACUUGAAUUUUGUUCCUAUUGCACCUGUCAGAGCGUGUCAUGAUGUGCGUAUAUUAGCGUUUCCAGCUGAACAAACUGUAUAUAAACUGUAACAUGUGUUAAGACAUGUGAAAGUAGUUACCUCUUCAUUCAAGAGACUUUGAGUGUGUAUAGUUAAAAUUAUGUAAGAUUGUUUUUCUCAUUGCUCAUGUGCAGAGACGACCUUAAAUUAGUUUAUUUCUUAAAACGUACUAUUGUUUCUUUCUUUUUUUUUUCCCAAUGUGGUUGUUUGUAAAUCUAUAUAUUGCAUGUGCCUGCUGUGCCAGGGCCUUGACUCAGCUCCAUCCAUCCAGAGGUUUCUAUGUCAUACGCACUUUUUAUUCCUGAUGUAAACAAACCCCCCAAUAGCAAUACUCUUAUUUAACACAGGAUGGCGUAUUUCUGCAGGCUUAGAUCUUGUACUGAGCUUGAAGUUAUCCUACAGAGUGGUUUUGAAAUGAGUCUGUUUUUAUUGGGAAAUACUGAUAUAACAGUGCAGUUUUCACAUCUAAACGAGGGCCAAUAAAUGUAUGUUUUUAUGCAUUUUAUGCCUAAUAACUAUUGACAGAAGGACUGGCACACCUAUCGGUUGCGCUUUGGAAAACAAGUCAUGACAUCUUGUGACGUCAAAACCCAAGACUGACUGCAGUCAGUUGACCAAUUGAUUUGCUGACUGCUUCAGAGGCACAGAAAGAGAAAAGGUUCGAUGUUGUGAUAGAAUAGGCCUUAAUGAAAUGAAUAUUUUUGGAUAAUCCAACAAAAUAACAGAAUUAACCUUUGAAAUUUUAAUUGCUUGCCCUCCUGAUGAAUAUUGUUAUUCCUCUUUUCACAGGCAGAAAACAGGUAUUGCUUUCAACUCCCUGAAAGGUAAGCAGAUUCAGUAAGACAAGUGGCACGACGGAGCAGCAGCACACUUUUUAUAUCAGGCAUUGUCAAAAAGUUUUAGCCAUCUGCCUUUCUGAUUAUCAGUUGCAUAUUUACAGUAUUUACGUGUAGGGUGUGGCCAAAGGGUCAGCAGUCAUAUACAUACAGUACUUACGACUGACAUUUUAAGUUUAAAAUUGCACCAAAAGUGCAUCAAAAGUGUCGCAUUAACUCCGAGCUCAUUAUAUCUGUACAAAGGUUAUUUUUCUCCGACUUGUCCAACACUGUGAUGCCAGAAACUGCUGAGCUGACGGGAAACGUUUGAAUGCAUUAUGUAGUAUGUUUAACAUGCCAUGAAAUAAUGCCUGGGUUUUUCUCAGGACCUGCUGAGGUUAAAGCUCUCCACGACUUGUUUUUCAUCAUACAGCACACAACGCUGUAACACAAGCGGACGACGCCUGAUGAGAGCCGAGUUUGCAUUCUUCCGACUGCAAACCAGCUUCGUGAACAUUUAGAAAUGAGGAAUCAUCUGAUUGAGUGGCUGGAGAGCUAUUCUACCAAGCAACAGAGAGGAGAGGAAUUGUCGAGGCAGCGGCAGGACUAGUGUCUGUCUGCACAGAGCUGCAGGUGAGCCUGUAUGUAGUAAGAUAUACAGCGGUGUUUUGUGUGUCUGUUCUUGUUUGGCCCUUCGCACAUCCGCGAAGCUUGGAUCAAGUAUCGGAUCAGUCGCGUGGGUGUGUUAGAGAGAAAUAGAUUGAGAAAGAGAGAGAGGUGUUCUGGUGCUUUCUCAGUGGUUUUCCAUUUCAUCUCUCUCUUACUUUCCCUUCAUUUGCUUUCCUCCUCUCUGCUUUCUGGCCUGUACCACAGCGGUGAAUUAAACUUCUUUCUGGUCAGGAGCCUGAGAGCCUAUACCAUCCCAGAGUGCAUUAUAUAUGGGGUCUCUUACAGUCUCCAAGAUCUGUCAGGCUUCCCUGUAACAUCAUCUUGAUCCAGUCAAAAACAAGUUAGAGACAGACAACACAAGUUACAGCUCACUGUGCCCAUUACUUAUUUAAAGAUACGCAUCAGCGUAAAGGAGACUAAUGAGGGAUUGUUAAAGAACUUAAUUGUUCUAUUUGCAAAUGGUAAGGCCUCUAGAUCGACUGAAACUUAACAUGACAAUGCCUCUAAUAGAUGUUACCUCUUCAUUCGCAGAGUUAACUCUUCCAACUGAAAGACUUAGUGUUGUUUGAUUAAAUGCCAUAUUGCUGUGUCUAUGUCUUUCCCUUACCGGAUUUUUCUUAGGGCGUCUCCUAUCUUGAUGAGGGUUUACAGUUUCAGGUGAUGAGUGGUAAGAGUGAAGUACCUGAUGAGAAAUAGAUGUCUAACAAUAAACAAAAUACAUAAUUAGUUCGAUGUCGACAAACACUUGUAAUUCUUGUCAAAAUGUGGAUGAGAACACGCUGUGUGCCUAGAGUACAAACUUUUUCAUGCCAAGGGAUCCUAAGUUCAAUUUCUGCCCCCUACUUCCAUAACACAUUUUGCCGUCUUGAAAAUAUUAAUUCCAAUAAUGAGAAUAGUCCAAUAAAAACAUUUAGUAUGUGUUAGAGACUUCAAAUCCCGGACUGUCUCUAAGGCAACUGCCAUAUCAGUACGUAUCACAUCUACAGUAUUGUUCUAGGCUCUUUGUUAAUUACACAUGCAUGCGGAUAUCACGCUGCAUGUGUAUCUCCUGCUGCAUCUGAGUCACUCUUUUGUACUCUCAAAUUUCUUUUUGUUUCAGUUAGUCUUUCUAAAAAGUUUUUGAAAUCCCCAGAGGGGCUCAUGUUUCUACUACAUCCAUUAUAAAGGAGAAUUGCUUAUUUCUCGUGUCAAAGUGUCAACUGCUACUAAUUGUUUUCCACUAUUUUCUGCUAAUUAUAUUUUCCACUGUUUUCUAGAUUCAAAAGCGUUUUACGCCACAGAACAAUGCCCUUUGUCAGAAGUGCCCCCCUUGGAAGCUGGUUUCAGAUGGUGGCUUAGAGUAUUGUCAUCUAUCUAGCACCAUUUGAAAUCAGUGUUCUUAGGGUGGGAAGUGUGUUUCACUUACCAGCAACAGGCAGCUGUGAUGUGUCACAAGAGGUGUUCAGUGAUAAAGGUGAAAUUAAGAGACUUCACCUGGAAGGUAUCCCUCUCUGAAGCGACCCUCAGCGAGCUACAAGCCACCAGUGCACAGUGAUGUUUGGACAGCUCAAGCUCUUUGUCCUCUCUCCAAGGUUGACCGAUUUCUUUUGGUGUUCAGAGUCUGCUUUUGUUUCUAGCACCAUUUGAAAUCGGUUACAGUGAAGGACAGAUCUCAUCUUUCCUUGAGGAUUUUGCAACUAAGCUGUGCCCUUUAUUUUACAGAUUGUGUGUUGAUUAUGGUGACAUUUUGUUAAGAAAAAAAAACAAAAAAAACAAAUUACUCUCACAGUGGCUACUAAUAAGCCUCUUCGGAAAUUACUAGUGGCAAGUUCGCCAUUGAUCCAGUGUCUCUCAGUCAUAUCUGAUAAGAUGUUUGCAAUGGAGAAAGAAAAAUUCAGAUCAUUUACUUAAGUAAAAUAUAUAAUGCUUAAUAAAGUAACAAUACCACAAUAUCAAAUUACUUUUACUUAUAUUUUAUUAUUAUAUAUCAUUGGAUUUUCAGUACUGAUGCAUUAAUAUGUAAGCAGUUUGAGAGAAUUAUAACUACUUCAUGUAAUGUUGGGUAGUUUGAUCUAUAACAAUGCAUCAUGUUUUCUAUGUAAAAUCCUGUCUAAGUAAUUAGCAGAUUUACUGUCAAAUACGUGGAGUCACACAAAAAUUGUAAUAUUUCCCUCUGAAAUUGAAUAAUGUAUAAAGUAAAAUUAAAUGAAAAUAGUACAGCACAGUACUUGAGUAAAUUUACUUUCCAUUACUGGAUAUUUUACUUCAUGAAGGGAUCAUUUGAAAAUUUCAGUGUCAAAUCCACAAGGUGGCACUGUAUAACAUACAAUACCACAUUACAGGGAUUAUGCCUCUGCACCUACAGUCUCAGGUAUGUUUAGGGUAACUGUAAACUGUUUCCAUUUUAAUCACUAACUCAGUUAAAUUAUGUUUUCUUUCAUUACAUGGGACCUAACAUCUGCUUCACCUAAAUAAUGUAAUGUAAUGGCCUAUUAAAUUUUUACUGUAAAGACUUGUGCUUUUACUUCAGUAAAUCACAUCCACAAGUUAAAUGUUUAGUAUGUAUAGGCCUUGCAGUAAAUAUUAAUUUGAAUAUUGUGAGAUAAUUACAAAUUACUACUGUAUUACACCUUAUUCAUGAAUAGCGACACCUAUAUACUGUAUAUCAGAUGACUCAUCUGUAAUGUGGACAAUAAAAUUGUUAAUUUGUCAGUUAUUUCCAUUGA